AUGACCAUGCCAGGAGACAACAGUGGCAUAGCCGGCUUGGUGUGUUUGAAUUGGACAGCUCGGGGCAACAGGAUGAGCAACGACAGCUAUGCAAGCGGGUCCCCAAGCAAACAGAGGCAAGAAGAGGACCCGGGACGGGACAAGGCAUCGGGCAGCAGCACUGGCGCCCUUGGCGCCGCCGAUGAUGGAUUCAAGCAAGGAAGGGGUCGCGUCCAAAGGAGAGGAAGGAGGCCGGGAGGCGGCGGAUCCGGGCGAGGGAACCCGUUCCCGGCGUUGGAGGCCUUGAGCGGAGGUCUGGGGGUGCGGAGGAGCUGUGGAGGCGAUGCAGGAGAUGGAGACAGGGAACGGUGGGAGCAGAGGAGCUCACGACGACACAGCAAAUGGGGAGGCCCUCAAGCAGAGGAGCGGGCGACAUGGAGGGGCGCAACAGUGCAGCGGCAGAAGGGCGCGACGACGGCGGGGUCUCGGCGGCUGCGGCAAGGGAAGAAGGCGCGGGCGGGCAAGCUCGCCGGAGGGCGCAAGGAUAAGCGGGAUCGGGAGCGGGGCUCUGCUCCUCUCCCUUUCUCUGUGGGAGGCAGCGCAGGGGAGGAGACGAGAGGGCGAUGGGGGCGAGAGAGAUGUGUGGACUGGUCGGGCUAG
rnacentral:rRNA from 1 species